GACGGAGGGUGCAAACGUUGCUCGGAAUCAUUGGGCGUAAAGCGCACGUAGGCGGCUUGUUAAGUCGGGUGUGAAAUCCCUGGGCUCAACCCAGGAAGUGCACUCGAAACUGGCAAGCUUGAGUAUGGAAGAGGGUCGCGGAAUUCCCGGUGUAGAGGUGAAAUUCGUAGAUAUCGGGAGGAACACCAGUGGCGAAGGCGGCGACCUGGGCCAAUACUGACGCUGAGGUGCGAAAGCGUGGGGAGCAAACAGG
rnacentral:rRNA from 1 species